UACGUAGGUGGCAAGCGUUUGUCCGGAUUUACUGGGCGUAAAGAGCGCGCAGGCGGUCGUUCAAGUCGCGUGUGAAAGCCCCCCGGCUCAACUGGGGAGGGUCACGCGAUACUGAUCGACUCGAAGGCAGGAGAGGGUAGUGGAAUUCCCGGUGUAGUGGUGAAAUGCGUAGAUAUCGGGAGGAACACCAGUGGCGAAGGCGACUACCUGGCCUGUUUCUUGACGCUGAGGCGCGAAAGCCAGGGGAGCAAAGCGGG
rnacentral:rRNA from 1 species